GUGGCUUCCGGAGCUAACGCGUUAAGUCGACCGCCUGGGGAGUACGGCCGCAAGGUUAAAACUCAAAUGAAUUGACGGGGGCCCGCACAAGCGGUGGAGCAUGUGGUUUAAUUCGAUGCAACGCGAAGAACCUUACCUGGUCUUGACAUCCACGGAAGUUUUCAGAGAUGAGAAUGUGCCUUCGGGAACCGUGAGACAGGUGCUGCAUGGCUGUCGUCAGCUCGUGUUGUGAAAUGUUGGGUUAAGUCCCGCAACGAGCGUAACCCUUAUCCUUUGUUGCCAGCGGUCCGGCCGGGAACUCAAAGGAGACUGCCAGUGAUAAACUGGAGGAAGGUGGGGAUGACGUCAAGUCAUCAUGGCCCUUACGACCAGGGCUACACACGUGCUACAAUGGCGCAUACAAAGAGAAGCGACCUCGCGAGAGCAAGCGGACCUCAUAAAGUGCGUCGUAGUCCGGAUUGGAGUCUGCAACUCGACUCCAUGAAGUCGGAAUCGCUAGUAAUCGUGGAUCAGAAUGCCACGGUGAAUACGUUCCCGGGCCUUGUACACACCGCCCGUCACACCAUGGGAGUGGGUUGCAAAAGAAGUAGGUAGCUUAACCUUCGGGAGGGCGCUUACCACUUUGUGAUUCAUGACUGGGGUGAAGUCGUAACAAGGUAACCGUAGGGGAACCUGCGGUUGGAUCACCUCCUUACCUUAAAGAAGC
rnacentral:rRNA from 1 species